CCUACGGGUGGCAGCAGUGGGGAAUAUUGGACAAUGGGCGCAAGCCUGAUCCAGCAAUACCGCGUGUGUGAAGAAGGCCCUAGGGUUGUAAAGCACUUUCAAUUGGGAGGAAAACCUGUCGGUCAAUACCCGGCAGCUUGACAUUACCUUUAGAAGAAGCACCGGCUAACUCCGUGCCAGCAGCCGCGGUAAUACGGAGGGUGCAAGCGUUGAUCAGAGUUACUGGGGGUAAAGCGUUCAUUCAGGGGUGAAAGCCCCGGGCUUAACCUGGGAACUGCAUUUGAAACUGGCGGACUUGAGUUGAGUAGAGGGGAGUGGAAUUUCAGGUGUAGCGGUGAAAUGCGUAGAUAUCUGAAGGAACACCAGUGGCGAAGGCGACUCCCUGGACUCAAACUGACGCUGAGGUACGAAAGCGUGGGUAGCAAACAGGAUUAGAUACCCCAGUAGUC
rnacentral:rRNA from 1 species